AGCAGCAGCCGCGGGAAUACGGAGGGUGCAAGCGUUAUCCGGAUUUAUUGGGUUUAAAGGGUCCGUAGGCGGAUCUGUAAGUCAGUGGUGAAAUCUCACAGCUUAACUGUGAAACUGCCAUUGAUACUGCAGGUCUUGAGUAAAUUUGAAGUGGCUGGAAUAAGUAGUGUAGCGGUGAAAUGCAUAGAUAUUACUUAGAACACCAAUUGCGAAGGCAGGUCACUAAGAUUUAACUGACGCUGAUGGACGAAAGCGUGGGGAGCGAACAGGAUUAGAUACCCCAGUAGCCCCUGUCUCUUAUAC
rnacentral:rRNA from 1 species